rnacentral:rRNA from 1 species
GAUGAACGCUAGCUACAGGCUUAACACAUGCAAGUCGCGGGGCAGCAUGGGGGUUGCUUGCAAUCCCCGAUGGCGACCGGCGCACGGGUGAGUAACGCGUAUCCAACCUGCCCUUCACCACGGGAUAACCCGGCGAAAGUCGGACUAAUACCGUAUGUUGUCCAUUGACGGCAUCCGAUUUGGACGAAAGGUUUGGCGGUGAAGGCUGGGGAUGCGUCCGAUUAGCUGGACGGCGGGGUGACGGCCCACCGUGGCGACGAUCGGUAGGGGUUCUGAGAGGAAGGUCCCGCACACGGGAACUGAGACACGGUCCAGACGCCUACGGGAGGCAGCAGUGAGGAAUAGUGGUCAGUGGGCGUAAGCCUGAACCAGCCAAGUAGCGUGCAGGAUGACGGCCCUAUGGGUGGUAAACUGCUUUUAUGCGGGGAUAAAGUGGCCCACGUGUGGGUUUUUGCAGGUACCGCAUGAAUGAGGACCGGCUAAUUCCGUG